GACGAACGCUGGCGGCGUGCUUAACACAUGCAAGUCGAACGGAAAGGCCCUGCUUUUGUGGGGUGCUCGAGUGGCGAACGGGUGAGUAACACGUGAGUAACCUGCCCUUGACUUUGGGAUAACUUCAGGAAACUGGGGCUAAUACCGGAUAGGAGCUCCUGCUGCAUGGUGGGGGUUGGAAAGUUUCGGCGGUUGGGGAUGGACUCGCGGCUUAUCAGCUUGUUGGUGGGGUAGUGGCUUACCAAGGCUUUGACGGGUAGCCGGCCUGGGAGGGUGACCGGGCACAAUGGGACUAAGGUAGGGGCCAGUGUCCUACCGGGGGCAAACGGGGGGAAUAAUGCACAAUGGGCCGGAGCCUGAAGCGACGACCCCGGGGUGGGGAAGACCGCCUUUGGGGUAGAAACCGCAUUAGGCUGUUACGAAGGCUUAGUGACGGUAAAGGGUGAAGAAGCACCGGCUAACUACGUG
rnacentral:rRNA from 1 species